AUGGCUUGUUCAUGUGGGGCUUCUAAGGAGGAAGCCGAAGACUGGAUCUCAUCUGCCGAAGGCUUAAAGCAGAUCCUUGUCUCGAAGGGACUCCACAGCUUUCCCUCCCAACUGCUGCUUAUCUUCCUUUCGUUUCAGGGGCAGAUAGACCAUACAUUUGCAUAAAAGAGCAGACAUGAAAUGCAGAUUUUGGCCAUGUCUUCUGACCUAAAGAAUCAGUUUCAGUCACAAUGAGGCAUAACAAGAGCCUGUUCACAACUAGGUAAAUUGAUCCUACCAUUUCUUUCUAUCUUUUCUACUAUUGAGAAUGAAUUCAGUGGACACAGAAAGAGUGUUGGGUAACAUUGGACCCCUACUAUGCUCUAUGGUGAAUAGAAUUAAGACACCAAGGCUAGAACACAGAAUAAGUUGCGAGGACAAAUGUGCUUCUGGUGAUAAUCUCAGUUGCAGUGGAGUCUCUACCAGCUAAGUUGGUGCUCCAAAGACUCUGGUUAUUAAUGAUCAACAAAUAGAAGUAGCUUCUUUAUCAACACAUCAAUUGACAGCUGAGUAUUGAGCAUUUCUAACCUUUGUUGCAGCUCAUAUUGUUUAUACAUGAGAGCAUUGUCAUUUUGUUGCAACAAUUUUAUGUGCAUCGAUCGGUUUGUCCAAAUUAUAGCUGUAGUUUUCGGUGUUUAAUGCAGAGUAUUGAAGGUCUCAAUCCCAAUAACUUGUUCCAAGAUGCUGAUGCAAGAAAAUCUGAUGACAAGUCUAAAGUUCACAGCGACCCUAACCAUGUCUCCAUCUACGGCAUUGUUCAGCAUCUCCUCAUCUUGUUGGCCACCAAGCUGUCAACUAGGAGUAUCUGCAGCAGGCUCAUCAGCUAAGAACCAGCACAGGGAAGAAUGAGAAACCAUUCCAUUAAGCUAUCUGGAAGGAAUUUGUCACUGUUGAUCUUCAGGUUCAGAAUGCGACCGAAGGUUGGUGAGUUCCAUCGAUACACAUCUCAUCAUCAUCGAUACGCAUUUCAUCAUCGUCGAUUCAUCUAUCUAUUAAUGCAGUAAGAAGGCAUUCAUACUUUGAGGAAAAAGCUUGAGGGAAACAACAUCAAAGAGUUAGACAUAUUUAAUAACUCAAAAAUAAACUUUAUGAUAUUAUUGAGGGAAGAAUCAAUGUUCGAAAAAUCUUUGAACUGUUCCAGUCAAGUUUGGUAUAAUUGAAAAGCACAUAUUCUGAGGUAGAGAACAAAAGGUUCAAAUAUGAUGCCCAUCAAGGAAAAGAGAGUGCCACUAUCUAGGCUCUAAAAUUCCCUUGAUGGACUCUCUAUUUAAUAUCAUGUCAAUGAAUUCUAGUGAUGGUCACAUGGCACAAUGGGACAUGAAGCUGAUAGAUUAGAACAAAAGGUAAAAUGACUGCAUUCGGUCACUAUCAAGUGAGUGAAACAAAUGAUCCAUAUUCCCUCCAUGCUAUACAAAUCUUGAUAAGCUCUAAUGCUAAAGAUAGACUAGAAUCUUUCUUUGUUUUUCACCACAUAAUUUAAUCUUAGAGUGCAAAAGAUCAUUAACCAUGCAAUAAAUUGUACAAUCCACAUAAGCAUUGCAGUCAGCAGUCUUACUGCUCAUUCUG